rnacentral:lncRNA from 1 species
ACUUUUACCGAAGGCCUUCCAUGUGUCUAACUGCAGUUCUCUCUGUUGCAAGUUAAGCCGGAACUGAAAGACCAGAAACCAGCCUGCCCUAGUCAAAGAAAGUUAGGGCCCAACCAGCCUCUCCCCAAGAAGCAGGGUAAGGUGGGGCAUUCAUCUCUCUGGACCCUUUUCCCCAGCCUGAGCCAGCCUUUGGGUGAGUUUCCUGCUAUUGGGAAAAUUCCUCCUCCAGUCUAACUAUGAUCACUUACAGUGAAGUUCAUUUCUGCCUCUCAGGGUCUCCCAUUUCUCUGGAGAAACCAGAAGCACAGAGAGGCCUGGGACAGAGCCUUCGGUUAGCAGGGUCCUGCCUGAUUCUGGCCCCAAAGGGCGUGGGAGAAGAAGGGAGGGAGGGGAGACCCAACCCAGAUCCAGCAGUUCUCUGCCCUGGCUCAGCAGUGGGGCCAGGCUGCAGGUUUCAAGCCCAACUCAGCACUCUUGUAGGUGCCAAUUUUAGCCUCUGCCACUAUUUUUGGGCUCCACUACCUCACCACUGGCUGAGCUGGUUGGGCUCCUCACCCCCAGCACUACCCCCACACUGCCCCUCCGGCUUCCCCUCCUUCCUAGCAACUCCUUCACCUCCUUCUUCACCCAUUCCCCUGUUUAGAAUCCUUAAAUAGCAAAGACCAGGAAAAAGGAAGAGGAAAUAAACCGUGCCCAGUUCAGGCUGGAUGGACAUUAGAAAGCAGGAAGGACUUCCCCAGGGCCACAGCUUGUUCUUCCUGGCUUGCACCUGCCAAGUAUACCUACGGGGAGGGUGUAGGAACUCCCCCAAACCAAGAGGCCUGAGGCUCCUGGCCCCAGAACUCCAGACUCACCUCCCCUGAGGUGGGCAGCCAAGACUCAGGAAUGUACUAAAUUUAAAAACAGACAGCCAGAGGCUAGAAUCUUGGCCUCAAGGUUCCACCCACUGGAGGCCCAGAGACAAGAUCUGGGGUGGGACCUCAGCUUCUCUCCCAGGCCUGGGGCAGGAGGGUGCUGCAAGCUAUGGAUAGAAUCUUAAAGGGCCACACUCCAGCCUGGGUACCCAGGAAACAUAGAAUUUGAACCCUGGGGUUUUUCAAGCGACCUCAUGGUCCCUCAACUCAACUAAGAAGGUCUCUAUGAAAGAAGAGGACCCGACCCUCCAACUCUUUUCUGUCUCCCACCCCAACCUUCAGUCUACUUUCCAUCCCACCUGCUGUUACCCUACCCCUCACCCUAUGCCCUCUUCUUCCCCUUAGGAGAUGAAUAACAAGGAAAGGGACUAGGGACAGGGAAAAGAAAAGUGUUCUGCCUUUAAAAACACCUGUGUUUAGUGAGCUUGGCCUGCAGCUUGACUCAGUUUCCGUUUUCUAUAUCCUCUUGAACAAUGAACACUUUUCCCUUCUCCUUGGUGUCACCUGCCCCCCUUUUCCAAGACCCUUCUUCAUUCCAGCGCCCCCUCUACUCCUAUCCAGUGAUAUCUUCCAGAUUUUCAGAAAUAAUUUUUUAGAUACACAGAAACAAACAUUUCUACCAGGAUCUAAAAAUAGCCAUCACCUUCUUUAGCCCAUUUAACUUGACGAAAUGUGUCCCUCCCAUUUCAGGGGUAGGGAGGAGGUCCCAGGGAAGAACCUGGUUGCCAAAGUCUCGGCCAGUUGGAGAAGAGAUGGGUCUCCCGAGGAUACCCAAGCCCAAGCUCUACACUGUCCCAAGGUGGUUUGUUUUUCUUCUUUCUUCUAUUGGUCUGGACCUUGUAUAUUCUGGGAGGAGGUGAUUAAGGCCAAAUUGCCUUAAGUGGCCAUCCAGCCAGAAGCUGGAAGAAGGGAAGGAUGAGAGGGAAUGAACUGUUGUGUUACGGCUAUUGAGAGAAACAGUGGCAAUACACAGCCAAAGCCCUGAGUUUCUAAUACGGCGCCACCUCUUAUGAGCUGUGAGAUCUUGGGCAAAGUAACUAACCUUUAAGUAUUUGUCUGUAGAAUUGAGAUUGAAAUACUUAUCUUUGCCAGAAUUGUUAUAAGAAUUAAAUGAGUUGAAAGUGUUUCAUCAAGUGUGCAAUGCUACUCAAGUAGGAGGGACUAAGCUACUUCCUUCUCUCACUGCUUGACUGAGCUUCUCUCCAGCCCCACCCCCUGAUGUUUACUGCUUAUGGAGAAAGAGAUUAAGUGAAGCAGGCCCACACAUUCAUGAAGGUGGAAGGAAGAUGUAGCAGGAGAUGGUGGAGAGGGAAACAGAGGAAGACAGGAUGACAGACGUGGGGAGGAAAGGCUGAGCGAGGCAAUGUCCUGACUCACUCUGGCGCUUCCCUCUUUCCCAUCUGGGCUCCAGAGUCUCUGCCCUCAUUCCCCUUCACCAGGUUGCUCAACCCUCCAUCAGACUGUUAGGUCAAGGGUGGACAAACAGACCAACCGGGAUCUGGAUGGCCCCUGGGCAGUACUGACUUCCCCUACCAUUCCCAUGGCAAGAAAAGGGAGUGAUUCCACUAGCAGACUCCCCUACCCUGCAGUGAGACAGCCUGUAGGAAGGUGAGACUCAGACCCCAAGGUUUCUGCUUUUGCUUUGUUCCUUCGAGAUCUCCAUUCCCCCAUGGGAGAGAAACCUCUCUGUCCCACCUGCCCUCCCCUCCCAUCAGCUUUCAGAUUCUCCAGCUGCUCCUCUUCUGAGACUCACCCAGUCUCAUGCCUCCAUUAGCCUCAACUCCCGACCCAUGGCCUGUGGUGAGAGGUGCUAACAACAUGACCUGCUUUCAUCUUGACCUUCCCAGCCCACCCAGAGAAAAGGGAAUCUUGGCUAAAAAAAGGCUGGAAGAGGGGAGAACCCUGGCACUGCGGGUGGGGCUGGGAGGAGCCCAGGCAACCUUACUGGUGAGAAUCUCAUGGCUCUUCAAGGUGAAUAUGAUGAUGAUUUCCCUGGGGUUUCUUUCAAUACUCAGAAGCCGCCCCGAGUUGGAAAGCACAUGCAUACUUGGGGAGGCCAGGGGAGGAAAAGGGGGGCGGCUCACUCUGACAGUAAAUGAAGAAAGUGGAAACAAAUUCAAGGAGCAGGCAGAGCUCCCGGUUUCACCAGAGCCCAACGGUUGGUAAUAAGGAUGAGAACAAUGUGCCUUCACUUCCUGGGAUCAGAACAGCACAUGGCCGCACAUGUACGGGUAUGCAUGUGCUUCCAUAAUCAUAUACUUUCCCAGCUUCUACUCUGCCUGUGGUCUAAUUUCAACUCCUUCAGCUGCUGUACCCACCCAUAAAAUUAUGAGUGUAAAAGCACUUUGCAAACCCUGAUACUCUAUGAAGAAGUAAAAAGUAGUGCUGUAAUUAUUAUCAUUAUUAUGUCCAAUGGUUGAGGUUUCCGCUGCCCACCUGUCAGCUAUGUGAGGCCUAAAGAGAGGGAGGGCUAGGCCAUUCCUCAGCUUCUGAGGUUCCUGGCCCUUUUCCCCUUCCAUCUGUCCACAGCUGACUGCUAAGCUGGAUGCGUAGGGGAAAGCAGAGAAAAGGUGAUUUACUGGGACACAGAGACACAGGCUGGAAGAGAUAGCAUGUGUUUCCUUAAAAUUUGAAGCAUUUGGCUGGGCACAGUGGCUCACACCUGUAAUCCCUGCACUUUGGGAGGUAAAGGCAAGAGGAUUUCCUGGGCCCAAGAGUUAGAGGCUGCAGUGAGCUAUGAUUGUGCCAUUGUACUCCAGCCUGGGAGACAGAAACCCCCUCUCUUAAAAAAAUAAAAAAAUAAAAAAUGGAACCAUUGCUCUGAGUUUCUAAUAGGGGGAGU